GGGUUGUGAGGUUAAGUGACUAAGCGUACACGGUGGAUGCCUAGGCAGUCAGAGGCGAUGAAGGACGUGCUAAUCUGCGAUAAGCGUCGGUGAGCUGAUAUGAAGCAUUAUUAGCCGGCGAUGUCCGAAUGGGGAAACCCAGUGCAAUCCGUUGCACUAUCGUUAAGUGAAUCCAUAGCUUAACGAGGCGAACCAGGGGAACUGAAACAUCUAAGUACCCUGAGGAAAAGAAAUCAACCGAGAUUCCCCCAGUAGCGGCGAGCGAACGGGGAAGAGCCCAGAACCUGAAUCAGUUUGUGCAUUAGUGGAAGCGUCUGGAAAGUCGCGCGAUACAGGGUGAUAGCCCCGUACACGAAGGUGCACAGCUGUGAGUUCGAUGAGUAGGGCGGGACACGUGUUAUCCUGUCUGAAUAUGGGGGGACCAUCCUCCAAGGCUAAAUACUCCUGACUGACCGAUAGUGAACCAGUACCGUGAGGGAAAGGCGAAAAGAACCCCGGCGAGGGGAGUGAAAUAGAACCUGAAACCGUGUACGUACAAGCAGUGGGAGCAUCCUUUUGGGUGUGACUGCGUACCUUUUGUAUAAUGGGUCAGCGACUUAUAUUUUGUAGCAAGGUUAACCGAAUAGGGGAGCCGUAGGGAAACCGAGUCUUAACUGGGCGUCUAGUUGCAAGGUAUAGACCCGAAACCCGGUGAUCUAGCCAUGGGCAGGUUGAAGGUUGGGUAACACUAACUGGAGGACCGAACCGACUAAUGUUGAAAAAUUAGCGGAUGACUUGUGGCUGGGGGUGAAAGGCCAAUCAAACCGGGAGAUAGCUGGUUCUCCCCGAAAGCUAUUUAGGUAGCGCCUCGUGAACUCAUCUUCGGGGGUAGAGCACUGUUUCGGCUAGGGGGUCAUCCCGACUUACCAACCGAUGCAAACUACGAAUACCGAAGAAUGUUAUCACGGGAGACACACGGCGGGUGCUAACGUCCGUCGUGAAGAGGGAAACAACCCAGACCGCCAGCUAAGGUCCCAAAGUCAUGGUUAAGUGGGAAACGAUGUGGGAAGGCACAGACAGCCAGGAUGUUGGCUUAGAAGCAGCCAUCAUUUAAAGAAAGCGUAAUAGCUCACUGGUCGAGUCGGCCUGCGCGGAAGAUGUAACGGGGCUAAACCAUGCACCGAAGCUGCGGCAGCGACGCUUAGGCGUUGUUGGGUAGGGGAGCGUUCUGUAAGCCGUUGAAGGUGGCCUGUGAGGGCUGCUGGAGGUAUCAGAAGUGCGAAUGCUGACAUAAGUAACGAUAAAGCGGGUGAAAAGCCCGCUCGCCGGAAGACCAAGGGUUCCUGUCCAACGUUAAUCGGGG
rnacentral:rRNA from 1 species